CGGUAACAGGGGAGCUUGCUCCCGCUGACGAGUGGCGAACGGGUGAGUAAUGCAUCGGAACGUGCCGAAUAGUGGGGGAUAACGCACCGAAAGGUGUGCUAAUACCGCAUACGCCCUGAGGGGGAAAGUGGGGGACCGCAAGGCCUCACGCUAAUCGAGCGGCCGAUGUCGGAUUAGCUAGUUGGUGGGGUAAAGGCUCACCAAGGCGACGAUCCGUAGCGGGUCUGAGAGGAUGAUCCGCCACACUGGGACUGAGACACGGCCCAGACUCCUACGGGAGGCAGCAGUGGGGAAUUUUGGACAAUGGGGGAAACCCUGAUCCAGCCAUGCCGCGUGUCUGAAGAAGGCCUUCGGGUUGUAAAGGACUUUUGUCCGGGAGGAAACCCUGAUCGUUAAUAGCGGUCGGGACUGACAGUACCGGAAGAAUAAGCACCGGCUAACUACGUGCCAGCAGCCGCGGUAAUACGUAGGGUGCAAGCGUUAAUCGGAAUUACUGGGCGUAAAGCGUGCGCAGGCGGUGAGAUAAGUCAGCUGUGAAAGCCCCGGGCUCAACCUGGGAACUGCGGCCGAAACUGUCUCGCUAGAGUACGUCAGAGGGGGGUGGAAUUC
rnacentral:rRNA from 1 species